CCUUUCUAAGGAAACAGACUUUAAGUCUGACGGAAACCUGCACACACGAAACUUUUGUUUAGUUUUGAGGGGACGACCCUCAAGCACCCUAGCGGGUGCGACUUUGUUCUUUGAAAACUGGAUAUCAUUGUUGUAAAUGUUUUAAAUUGCCGAGAACACAGCGUAUUUGUAUGAGUUUCUAAUUUAGAAAUUCGCAUCGCAUAACCGCUGACGCAAGUCAGUACAGGUUAAGUUACAAAGGGCGCACGGUGGAUGCCUUGGCACUAGGAGCCGAUGAAGGACGGAACUAAUACCGAUAUGCUUCGGGGAGCUAUAAGUAAGCUUUGAUCCGGAGAUUUCCGAAUGGGGGAACCCAGUACACAUCAGUGUAUUGCCUGCAAGUGAAUUCAUAGCUUGUCGGCGGCAGACGCGGGGAACUGAAACAUCUCAGUACCCGCAGGAAGAGAAAGAAAACUCGAUUCCCAUAGUAGCGGCGAGCGAAGUGGGAAGAGCCCAAACCGAGAAGCUUGCUUCUCGGGGUUGUAGGACUGGACAUUGGAGUUACCAAAGUUCGACGUAGUCGAAGUCAGCUGGAAAGCUGCGCCAUAGAAGGUGAAAGCCCUGUAAACGAAACGGCGGACCCUCCGUCCAGGAUCCUGAGUACGGCGGAACACGUGAAAUUCCGUCGGAAUCCGGGAGGACCAUCUCCCAAGGAUAGAUACUCC
rnacentral:misc_RNA from 1 species